rnacentral:rRNA from 1 species
UACGAAGGGGGCUAGCGUUGCUCGGAAUCACUGGGCGUAAAGCGCACGUAGGCGGCUUUCUAAGUCAGGGGUGAAAUCCUGGAGCUCAACUCCAGAACUGCCUUUGAUACUGGAGAGCUUGAGUCCGGGAGAGGUGAGUGGAACUCCGAGUGUAGAGGUGAAAUUCGUAGAUAUUCGGAAGAACACCAGUGGCGAAGGCGGCUCUCUGGGACGUGACUGACGCUGAGACGCGAAAGCGUGGGGAGCGAACAGG